AGUGAACGCUGGCGGUAGGCCUAACACAUGCAAGUCGAACGGCAGCACAGAGGAGCUUGCUCCUUGGGUGGCGAGUGGCGGACGGGUGAGGAAUACAUCGGAAUCUACUCUGUCGUGGGGGAUAACGUAGGGAAACUUACGCUAAUACCGCAUACGACCUACGGGUGAAAGCGGGGGACCUUCGGGCCUUGCGCGAUGGAAUGAGGCGAUGGCGGAUUAGCUAGUUGGCGGGGUAAAGGCCCACCAAGGCGACGAUCCGUAGCUGGUCUGAGAGGAUGAUCAGCCACACUGGAACUGAGACACGGUCCAGACUCCUACGGGAGGCAGCAGUGGGGAAUAUUGGACAAUGGGCGCAAGCCUGAUCCAGCCAUACCGCGUGGGUGAAGAAGGCCUUCGGGUUGUAAAGCCCUUUUGUUGGGAAAGAAAUCCAGCUGGCUAAUACCCGGUUGGGAUGACGGUACCCAAAGAAUAAGCACCGGCUAACUUCGUGCCAGCAGCCGCCGCGG
rnacentral:rRNA from 1 species